AUAAACUCUAGCACAGUGGGCCUUCCUAGCUUGCAGAAUUGAGUUGCACCAUGUGUGAAGUAACUGGGACCACUAGAGAGAGCUCUCGUAACAAAACACUGCUCCCCCACGAAGAUCUGUGUAGUCACAGCAUUUUAUCGAGUUCCAGGAAGACCUUACCGCCUACCUGCAGCCAGAUCCCAAGCUAUAUAUAGUUAUGCGCAAGGCUUGAUCCUGAAUUGGCAUAAAAGAGACAAGAAGAUUAUAGACCCAUGACCUAUUAGCAGUGUGGAUUUAUGAAGUGAAAACGAUGCAGUACAAAUGUUGAUUAUUUUUUG